rnacentral:tRNA from 1 species
CAGAGAAUAGUUUAAUUAAAAUAGUAGUUUUGGAGACUAUUGAUAGGGGUAUUCCUUUUCUCUGA